rnacentral:tRNA from 1 species
AUUUGUAUAGUUUAUAAAAAACCUUAUAUUUUCAUUAUAAAAAUAGAAUAUUUCUUGCAAAUA